AGCGAACGCUGGCGGCAGGCCUAACACAUGCAAGUCGAACGGAUCCUUCGGGAUUAGUGGCGGACGGGUGAGUAACACGUGGGAACGUGCCCUUUGGUUCGGAACAACUCAGGGAAACUUGAGCUAAUACCGGAUGUGCCCUUCGGGGAAGAUUAUCGCCAUUGGAGCGGCCCGCGUCUGAUUAGCUAGUUGGUGGGGUAAAGGCCCACCAAGGCGACGAUCAGUAGCUGGUCUGAGAGGAUGAUCAGCCACAUUGGGACUGAGACACGGCCCAAACUCCUACGGGAGGCAGCAGUGGGGAAUCUUGCGCAAUGGGCGAAAGCCUGACGCAGCCAUGCCGCGUGAAUGAUGAAGGUCUUAGGGUU
rnacentral:rRNA from 1 species